CUUAUGUGUCGGCUCAACCUAAGAAACCUAAUCUGUCGCUCUUUCUCUCUCAAAUCCGUGCCUUCGCGUCUCCAGUUCUCAACCCCUGUAAUCUCGUCUUCUUCGUCUGAUUCUCACAUCUUUCCGACCACAAGAUGUGAGGCUGUGAAGACAAUGAUGAACUACAUAGAAGAGUCAUUAGAUACUCUGCAAGUUUCAUAUGAAUCUUAGAAUCUAAGGUUUCAGUGUGAGCCUCAUCGUGACCUUUCUUUCCUGUAUUUUGUUUAGUUAACUCUUUCUGCUUUGUUGGACAUUCUAAGACGUUUGGAAUUUUAUGAAUCAUGCUUCUUUGUAGUGUGUAUUGGAAAGAGGAGAGUUUAAGAAUGUUGGACUUUUGUUUUUACUGAUAAUUUUUUUUUGG